rnacentral:rRNA from 1 species
UAGCUGCUGCAACCACAAAGAAAUUUUAAUUCAACAUCGAGGUCGCAAACUUCUUUUUAGAUAUGAACUCUUAAAAGAAAUAACGCUGUUAUCCCUAAAGUAACUUAACCUUUUGAUCUUUAGAUAAGGAUCUAUUAAAUAUCAGAUAUUUCUGAAUAUAAAUUAAACAGUUACUAAUUUUAUUUAUACCGCCCCAGUAAAAUACUAUCUCAUUAAAUAUAUAUUAAUAUUAUAAGUAAAAUAUUUAAUAAUGAAAUAUUAAGAUUUAUAGGGUCUUAUCGUCCCUCUAGUCUAUUUAAGCCUUUUCACUUAAAAGUUAAGUUCAAAAUAUAUGAAA